rnacentral:SRP_RNA from 1 species
GCUGGGCAUGGUGGUGGGUGCCUGUAAUCCCAGCUACUCAGGAGGCUGAGGCAGGAGAAUUGCCUGAACCCAGGAGGCAGAGGUUGCGGUGAGCCGAGAUCGCGCCAUUGCACUCCAGCCUGGGUAACAAGAGCGAAACUCCGUCUCAAAAAAAAAAAAAAAAUAUGGUGACCUCCUGGGAAACGGGGGACCACCAGGUUGCCUAAGGAGGGGUGAACCAGCCCAGGUCGGAAACGGAGCAGGUCAAAACUCCCGUGCUGAUCAGUAAUGGGAUCAUGCCUCUGAAUAGCCACUGCACUCCAGCCUGGGCAACAUAGAGAGACCCCGUCUCUU